rnacentral:lncRNA from 1 species
GCUUUUGAAGAAGAGACUGAGCAUCUGAGAACAAAAUGUCUCCUGCAUCCAGUCAUAAUCAUUCACUGCCAGACCUAUAUGUUCCUGUGAGGUCUCCCCAGCUAACUCACCAAUAAUUCCAUGUAUGGAAGGAAGACAGAUAAGGGUAACUGGAUUUGGUUCACUGUUUCUUUUGCCGCUUCUGUUAAUUUGGAGAGACAUAUGCGACUUUGUGCUUCACUAGAGGAGUACAGACUUCAUGAGGGUCUGACCCGGCUCCACCCAGUUGAUCCAGGUGAACAAGGUGUCUGUUCAGCGGAGCCCAGAGACCUCGUAAGAAACCACCCAGCACUGAAUACCAGUUCUGUGAUUGUCUCCACCCUUCUCAAGACCCAGAAUUCAGAUUCAGGCCUGUUACUGGAUAUUCACAGCAUCAAUGCUGGAAAAUAUCGAAAAUAUUACACAUCCGGGCUAGCACACAGCUGA